UACGAAGGGGGCGAGCGUUGUUCGGAUUUACUGGGCGUAAAGGGCGCGCAGGCGGCCAUUCAAGUCAGGCGUGAAAGCCCCGGGCUUAACCUGGGAGGUGCGUCUGGGACUGGGUGGCUGGAGAUCGGGAGAGGAGAGUGGAAUUCCCAGUGUAGAGGUGAAAUUCGUAGAUAUUGGGAAGAACACCGGUGGCGAAGGCGGCUCUCUGGGCCUGUACUGACGCUGAGGAGCGAAAGCGUGGGGAGCGAACAGG
rnacentral:rRNA from 1 species